rnacentral:rRNA from 1 species
AACUGAAGAGUUUGAUCAUGGCUCAGAUUGAACGCUGGCGGCAGGCUUAACACAUGCAAGUCGAGCGGGGGAAGGUAGCUUGCUACUGGACCUAGCGGCGGACGGGUGAGUAAUGCUUAGGAAUCUGCCUAUUAGUGGGGGACAACAUCUCGAAAGGGAUGCUAAUACCGCAUACGUCCUACGGGAGAAAGCAGGGGAUCUUCGGACCUUGCGCUAAUAGAUGAGCCUAAGUCGGAUUAGCUAGUUGGUGGGGUAA